rnacentral:rRNA from 1 species
GACGAACGCUGGCGGCGUGCUUAACACAUGCAAGUCGAACGGAAAGGCCCUGCUGUUGCGGGGGACUCGAGUGGCGAAAGUGUGAGUAACACGGGAGUAACAUGCCCGUGACUUUGGCAUAACUUCGGGAAACUGGGGCUAAUACCGGAUAGUAGUUCCUCCUACAUGGUGGGGGUGGGAUAGUCUCGGCGGUUGGGGAUGGACUCGCGGCUUAUCAGCUUGUUGGGGGGGUAGUGGCUUACCAAGGCUUGGACGGGUAGCCGGCCUGAGAGGGUGACCGGCCACAUUGGGACUGAGCUACGGCCCAGACUCCUCCCGGAGGCAACAGUGGGGAAGAGUAUACAGUAGGCGGAGGCCAGAUGCAGCAACGCCGCGUGCGGGAUGACGGCCUUCGGGUUGUAAUCCGCUUUCGCCUGUGACGAAGCGUGAGUGACGGUAAUGGGUAAAGAAGCACCGGCUAACUACGUG